AUUGAACGCUGGCGGCAGGCUUAACACAUGCAAGUCGAGCGGGGUGAUGGUGCUUGCACUAUCACUUAGCGGCGGACGGGUGAGUAAUGCUUAGGAAUCUGCCUAUUAGUGGGGGACAACAUCUCGAAAGGGAUGCUAAUACCGCAUGCGUCCUGCGGGAGAAAGCAGGGGAUCACCUGUGACCUUGCGCUAAUAGAUGAGCCUAAGUCGGAUUAGCUAGUUGGUGGGGUAAAGGCCUACCAAGGCGACGAUCUGUAGCGGGUCUGAGAGGAUGAUCCGCCACACUGGGACUGAGACACGGCCCAGACUCCUACGGGAGGCAGCAGUGGGGAAUAUUGGACAAUGGGGGGAACCCUGAUCCAGCCAUGCCGCGUGUGUGAAGAAGGCCUUAUGGUUGUAAAGCACUUUAAGCGAGGAGGAGGCUCUUUUGGUUAAUACCCAAGAUGAGUGGACGUUACUCGCAGAAUAAGCACCGGCUAACUCUGUGCCAGCCGCCGCCGUAA
rnacentral:rRNA from 1 species